GCAGUCGGACGGUUCUAAGUUUAGAGGCUAGAGUCUAAGGGAUUAGACUGUAGUCCCUAAACUUAGGAUAGUGGCGAACGGGUGAGUAACACGUAAGUUACCUACCCUCAAGACGGGGAUAACAUUCCGAAAGGGAUGCUAAUACCCGAUGUGGUUAUAUACAAAUAUAUGGAGUAUAUAACUAAAGGGAAGCGGAAGCGACCGCUUGGGGAUGGGCUUGCGUCCCAUCAGCUAGUUGGUAGGGUAAAGGCCUACCAAGGCUAAGACGGGUAGCUGGCCUGAGAGGGUGGUCAGCCACACUGGGACUGAGACACGGUCCAGACUCCUACGGGAGGCAGCAGUUGGGAAUUUUCCGCAAUGGGCGAAAGCCUGACGGAGCGACACUGCGUGAGGGAAGAAGGCCUUCGGGUUGUAAACCUCUGUCGAGAGGGGAAGAUCACAGACGGUACCCUCAGAGGAAGCCCCGGCUAACUACGUGCCAGCAGCCGCGGUAAAACGUAGGGGGCGAGUGUUAUUCGGAAUUACUGGGCGUAAAGGGCGUGUAGGCGGUUAGGUGUAUCGGAGGUGAAAUCCUACGGCUCAACUGUAGGGGGUCUUUCGAGAUUACCUAACUAGAGGGUAGAAGAGGGAGAUGGAAUUCCCG
rnacentral:rRNA from 1 species